rnacentral:rRNA from 1 species
GUCCUGGCAGUAAACGGUGCACGCUUGGUGUGAGGGGAAUCGACCCCCCUUGUGCCGGAGCAAACGCGUUAAGCGUGCCGCCUGGGAAGUACGGUCGCAAGACUAAAACUCAAAGAAAUUGACGGGGACCCGCACAAGCGGUGGAGUAUGUGGCUUAAUUCGAUGCAACGCGAAGAACCUUACCUGGGCUUGACAUGCAUCUCUAAGCGCGUGAAAGCGCGUGACCCUUCGGGGGAUUUGCACAGGUGCUGCAUGGCCGUCGU